CCCCAUGCACCUUCACUACAAUUUAACAUUGACAUUGGAUACAGGAUGUGUAGGAUAGGUGGGAGGCUUUGAAGCGGCGUCGCUAGGCGUCGUGGAGCCAACGUUGAAAUACCACCCUUUCUGUAUUCGGUGUCUAAUCCCGCAAAGCGGGAGACAUUGUUUGAUGGGUAGUUUGACUGGGGUGGUCGCCUCCAAAAAGGUAACGGAGGCUUUCAAAGGUAAGCUCAAUACGCUUGGUAACCGUAUGAGGAGUGCAAUAGCAUAAGCUUGCUUGACUGUGAGACAGACAAGUCGAUCAGGGUCGAAAGACGGAUAUAGUGAUCCGGUGGUUCUGCAUGGAAGGGCCAUCGCUCAAAGGAUAAAAGGUACGCUGGGGAUAACAGGCUGAUCUCCCCCNNNNNNNNNNNNNNNNNNNNNNNACAUCCUGGGGCUGGAGAAGGUCCCAAGGGUUCGGCUGUUCGCCGAUUAAAGUGGCACGCGAGCUGGGUUCAGAACGUCGCGAGACAGUUCGGUCCCUAUCUGUUGUGGGCGUAGGAAUUUUGAGUGGGGCUGACCUUAGUACGAGAGGACCGGGUUGGACUAGCCUCUAGUGAAUCUGUUGUUCCGCCAGGGGCAUUGCAGAGUAGCUACGCUGGGAAUAGAUAAGCGCUGAAAGCAUCUAAGUGCGAAACUAGCCACGAGAUG
rnacentral:rRNA from 1 species